rnacentral:tRNA from 1 species
AGGGGAAUAGCCAAGUUGGUUUAAGGCACCGGAUUUUGAUUCCGGCAUCCAGGGUUCAAAUCCUUGUUCCCCUG